CCUACGGGGGGCAGCAGUGGGGAAUAUUGGACAAUGGGGGCAACCCUGAUCCAGCCAUGCCGCGUGUGUGAAGAAGGCCCUCGGGUUGUAAAGCACUUUCAGUGAGGAAGAACGCCUGGUGGUUAAUACCCAUCAGGAAAGACAUCACUCACAGAAGAAGCACCGGCUAACUCCGUGCCAGCAGCCGCGGUAAUACGGAGGGUGCGAGCGUUAAUCGGAAUUACUGGGCGUAAAGCGCGCGUAGGUGGCUUGAUAAGCCGGUUGUGAAAGCCCCGGGCUCAACCUGGGAACGGCAUCCGGAACUGUCAAGCUAGAGUGCAGGAGAGGAAGGUAGAAUUCCCGGUGUAGCGGUGAAAUGCGUAGAGAUCGGGAGGAAUACCAGUGGCGAAGGCGGCCUUCUGGACUGACACUGACACUGAGGUGCGAAAGCGUGGGUAGCAAACAGGAUUAGAUACUCCUGUAGUC
rnacentral:rRNA from 1 species